GAUGAACGCUGGCGGCGUGCCUAAUACAUGCAAGUCGAACGAACAGACGAGGAGUUGUCUCCUCAGACGUUAGCGGCGGACUGAUGAGUAACUCAUGGAUAACCUAACUAUAAGACUGGGAUAACUUCGAGAAACCGGAGCUAAUGCCGAAUAAUAUAUUGCACCGCAUGGUUCAAUAGUGGAAUACGCUUUUGCUGUCAAUCACAGAUGGAUCCGCCCCGCAUUAGGUAGUUGGUAAGGUAACGGCUUACCAAGGAAACUAUGCGUAGCCGACCCCAGAGGGAGGUCGCCCACACGGGAAGAGAGACGGAGACCAGACACCUACGCGAGGCCGCAGUAGGGAAUCGUACGCAACGGAGGAAAGGAUGACGUAGUAACGCGGCGUGAGUGAUGAAGAAGUUCGGAUCGUAAAGAUCUGUUAUGAGGGAUGAACAAAGGUGUAAUUAGCUAAGCAGAUAUUGACGGUACCUAAGCAAGAAGCCACGGCUAACUACGUG
rnacentral:rRNA from 1 species